UUGAGUUUGACACCCCUGGCGUAGUGGGUAGUAGUGGGUUUCAGUAGGCCUUUAAACAUGUAGAUGUGAUGAGGUGGCAACUUGUCCAGGGUAUACCCUUCCUUCCACCCGAUUGUAGCUGAGAUAGGCUCCAGAACCCCCCGUGACCCUAAUAGGGACAAGCGGUAGGAAAUGGAUGGAUGGAUAUGAAUCGUCACGCCGCCAGAUGGAGACUGGUGCCCACCCUUUGAAAAAGGGCCACACGAGGCGCUGGUGUCGAUCUCAGCUACAAUCGGGUGGAAGGCGGUGUACACCCUGGACAAGUCGCUCUCAUCGCAGGAUUAUGUAAUGAGAAAAAGUUGUCCGUCUGCAUCCUGACAGUAAGAUGCGAACCCCGCAGUAAGAUGCGAACCCCACGUGACAGAAUGAAGCCGGCCGCCAGUUCUUUUACAACGGGCUCCGAGGAGGGUGUUGAGAGCGAUGGAGGUGGAAAUGCUCCGCUAUUCCCCCACGGAACUCGAAGAGAUGGUGUGGGGCCAUGGUGGUUCACUGGAGCCCAUCCACUCCCGUUGGCCCAAGGACAUCGCCACACCGCAGUACUGGACGGAUCGGCGAAGACGGAACCAAUAAGAGAAGGUUUCACCCGCCGUCAGGACGCACUAAUCCCGCAAAUUCCUCCUCCGGACUGAAGCAGGUCACAAACCGCCUAGUCAUCCUCGCUGCCGAUGUUUGGUAAUCCGCUAACUCAUCUUGCCAAACACUUCACCGACCUGACAAUGAGUCAGAUGGUCACCGGCACCAAUGACGUCACCCCGCCCACUGGGAAUGACUUCAGAGAGCAAUACUUUUUUUUACGGACUCGCUCACCAGGUCUGUCCCUGUCAUCCAAGACUCAAGCUCCGCCCCCAAGGACUCUAGACCCGCCCACAUCACAGACUUUUUCCUCCCGUCCUCCCACACAAUCUCAGGUGGGGAGUGGACAGACAAAUUUUGGCCAAUUUAGAAAGGAGGAGGAGUCCACCACCCUCCUAACCCUCCACCCACCCCCAAAGACAGCUCCAGAUCGCACAGGAAGCGUCUGGUAUCCGCUUCCUGAGGGGGUGUGGCUAGGGCUGAUAGCCAGGCCAGUGAGGUGGCACUGCUGCGCCCGACCAAGCGGCAACCUCCUGCUCGACCACCACCACCUGUUCUUCAGCGGGUCAAGCUGCAACCUCCUGAAAGGCCAGCUGCACAACAACUGCGCCCAGCCAGGCAGCAACCUCUGACCCAGCCACCACCAACUGUUCUUCGGCGUGCCAAGCCACGACCUCCAGCCAGGCCACCUCCGCCAAGGUCACAGUUAACCUCAGCCCAGGUGGGCCUGAAGACACCAUCCUUGUUGUGUACGUGAGGACUGGAAGGAGACGACAGUACGAGAGACUUAAGGUUACCAGGUUUAUUGGAAGCUUUGAUGAUUGUGCUGGGAUGUGUGCGGGGGCGUGUCUUGGCAUGCUACCAGAAUUAAUGUGGGAAUCUGCUGUGGAAGGAUCUUGGGUUCGAAUCCCUGCCGUGACAAUCCUCUUGAGAAGGUGGGCGCGAGUGACCACCUUUAAUGGUCUCGGAAUUAAGUAUUGUCUUGCUGCUGUCUAUCCCCAUUCAGCAUGUAAGUAGGGUUGUAUGUGGAGUCUGUUGCUCCAAAAUCGAGACCAACAAAAACAAAAGUAUGGUCUGGAGUGUCAUGUGUUGAUGUAACAAUAAAAGGAGUGAUCCAGUUGUUGUCUCAAUGAGCUGUUUAUUCACUCCAAGUGGUAACUGCUCGCCUCAGGCAGGUAACAUGAAG